UAGCUGUGAUGAAUUGAACUAUCACCAUCUUUCGACUGAGAUUUCAAGAUGAUAUUUCAUUACUGAUGUUUUUU